rnacentral:rRNA from 1 species
AACGAACGCUGGCGGCAGGCUUAACACAUGCAAGUCGAGCGAGGACUUCGGUCCUAGCGGCGGACGGGUGAGUAACGCGUGGGAACGUGCCCUUUGCUUCGGAAUAGCCCUGGGAAACUGGGAGUAAUACCGGAUGAGCCCUUUGGGGGAAAGAUUUAUCGGCGAAGGAUCGGCCCGCGUUGGAUUAGGUAGUUGGUGGGGUAAUGGCCUACCAAGCCGACGAUCCAUAGCUGGUUUGAGAGGAUGAUCAGCCACACUGGGACUGAGACACGGCCCAGACUCCUACGGGAGGCAGCAGUGGGGAAUCUUAGACAAUGGGGGAAACCCUGAUCUAGCCAUGCCGCGUGAGCGAUGAAGGCCUUAGGGUUGUAAAGCUCUUUCAGCUGGGAAGAUAAUGACGGUACCAGCAGAAGAAGCCCCGGCUAACUCCGUG